rnacentral:lncRNA from 1 species
CUUGAAUCACAGCUCAGACACAAUAGCAGCCAUUGAGACGAGUUUUCUGUGACUUAACCAGCAAGCCCUGGUUCUGUUCUGAAUGAGGUUUUAUUGUGCUGCUGCUCCAAUUGAAUGACUUACUAUUGCUGUGAAGGACAGUCCUGCUCCCCCCUUCACCCUGUUGCUGGCCUUGCAGUCCCUUUUUUUAACUUAUGCCAACUCUAGUUCUUGAUUGAUCCACUUGUAAACUGGGUCAGUUUGCUCACUGGCCAAAAACUAAUUGCUGUUUUGAUUAAUUCGUUUUAGGCUGGCCUGGCUUACUGAAGCUGUGACAUGAGCACCAGAGCUGACGUGAAGAAAGCAUCAGGAGGGCACAUCUACAAACCAAACCACCCUUUUUGGAAACAGUGGGAUGUUAGAUUAGCCCCUGGAAGAGCAUGCAGGUAAACAAGUGUGUAGAAGAAAGAGUUCCAGGCACACAAAGGUUGGCUGGUAAGUCACCAACAUAUGAAAGGAAUAUUCUGGAACAAUUGUACCAGUUCUGUAU